CCCCGACGACACCAGCAGGAACAUCGUGGAGAUCAUCUUCCAGUCGAGCUGGAUGAAGAAGGAGACCCCCGUCUGCAAGAUCGAGAGGAUCCUCAAGGUCAACAACACGAAGAAGACCAUCUCCAGGUUCGAGGAGUACAGAGAUACAGUGAAGAGCAGGGCCGGGAAGCUCCCCAAGAAGCAUCCCCGGUGCGCCGCCGACGGGAACGAGCUCCUGAGGUUCCACUGCACUUCCCUGGUUUGCACCCUGGGGGCCGGCGGCGCCGCCGGACUCUGCC
rnacentral:lncRNA from 1 species